CAGUAGCCGCGGUAAUACGUAGGUGGCAAGCGUUGUCCGGAAUUAUUGGGCGUAAAGCGCGCGCAGGCGGUUAGAUAAGUCUGAAGUUAAAGGCUGUGGCUCAACCAUAGUACGCUCUGGAAACUGUUUAACUUGAGUGCAAGAGGGGAGAGUGGAAUUCCAUGUGUAGCGGUGAAAUGCGUAGAUAUAUGGAGGAACACCGGUGGCGAAAGCGGCUCUCUGGCUUGUAACUGACGCUGAGGCUCGAAAGCGUGGGGAGCAAACAGGAUUAGAUACCCCGGUAGUCCCUGUCUCUUAUACA
rnacentral:rRNA from 1 species